GACGAACGCUGGCGGCGUGCUUAACACAUGCAAGUCGAACGGAAAGGCCCUGCUUUUGUGGGGUGCUCGAGUGGCGAACGGGUGAGUAACACGUGAGUAACCUGCCCUUGACUUUGGGAUAACUUCAGGAAACUGGGGCUAAUGCCGGAUAGGAGCUCCUGCUGCAUGGUGGGGGUUGGAAAGUUUCGGCGGUUGGGGAUGGACUCGCGGCUUAUCAGCUUGUUGGUGGGGUAGUGGCUUACCAAGGCUUUGACGGGUAGCCGGCCUGAGAGGGUGACCGGCCACAUGGGGACUGAGAUACGGCCCAGACUCCUACGGGAGGCAGCAGUGGGGAAUAUUGCACAAUGGGCGGAAGCCUGAUGCAGCAACGCCGCGUGCGGAAUAACGGCCUUCGGGUUGUAAACCGCUUUCGCCGGUGACGAAGCGUGAGUGACGGUAAUGGGUAAAGAAGCACCGGCUAACUACGUG
rnacentral:rRNA from 1 species